rnacentral:rRNA from 1 species
GACGAACGCUGGCGGCGUGCCUAAUACAUGCAAGUAGAACGCUGAAGGAGGAGCUUGCUUCUCUGGAUGAGUUGCGAACGGGUGAGUAACGCGUAGGUAACCUGCCUGGUAGCGGGGGAUAACUAUUGGAAACGAUAGCUAAUACCGCAUAAGAGUAGAUGUCGCAUGACAUUUGCUUAAAAGGUGCAAUUGCAUCACUACCAGAUGGACCUGCGUUGUAUUAGCUAGUUGGUGAGGUAACGGCUCACCAAGGCAACGAUACAUAGCCGACCUGAGAGGGUGAUCGGCCACACUGGGACUGAGACACGGCCCAGACUCCUACGGGAGGCAGCAGUAGGGAAUCUUCGGCAAUGGACGGAAGUCUGACCGAGCAACGCCGCGUGAGUGAAGAAGGUUUUCGGAUCGUAAAGCUCUGUUGUAAGAGAAGAACGAGUGUGAGAGUGGAAAGUUCACACUGUGACGGUAGCUUACCAGAAAGGGACGGCUAACUACGCG